rnacentral:rRNA from 1 species
UACGUAGGGGGCAAGCGUUGUCCGGAUUUAUUGGGCGUAAAGAGCGUGUAGGCGGCCACACAGGUCUGCUGUGAAAACUCGAGGCUCAACCUCGAGCUGUCGGUGGAAACCGUGUGGCUAGAGCCCGGAAGAGGAGAGUGGAAUUCCCGGUGUAGCGGUGAAAUGCGCAGAUAUCGGGAAGAACACCCGUGGCGAAGGCGGCUCUCUGGGACGGUACUGACGCUGAGACGCGAAAGCGUGGGGAGCGAACAGG